ensembl:snRNA U6 U6 spliceosomal RNA
GUGCUUACUUUGGUAGCACAAAUACUAAAACUUAAAUAAUUCAGAGGAGGUUGGUAUGUUUCCUUUGCAAGGAUGAUCUAAAGGAUUCAUGAAGUGUGAUGGUCUUUC